AGGACGAGCGCUGGCGGCGUGCUUUACACAUGCAAGUCGAACGGGGGUAGCAAUACCCCAGUGGCGAACGGGUGCGUAACACGUGAGGAAUCUGUCCAUCGGCGGGGGAUAGCCGGCCCAACGGCCGGGUAAUACCGCGUACGUCGGCGAGGGCGCAUGCCCAUGCCGGGAAAGCAGCAAUGCACCGAUGGAGGAUCUCGCGGCCUAUCAGCUUGUUGGUGAGGUAACGGCUCACCAAGGCAACGACGGGUAGCUGGUCUGAGAGGAUGAUCAGCCACAUUGGGACUGAGACACGGCCCAGACUCCUACGGGAGGCAGCAGUGGGGAAUA
rnacentral:rRNA from 1 species